rnacentral:lncRNA from 1 species
AUUUAGAAUGGAGGUUCUUGAUAUUUGGAAUGAACCUUCUUGAUUCAGGACAUGAAACAGAGGUUCAUUAGCAUGUUUUAUUUCAUGUUCCCUGUGUCUGGUGUGCUACAUAGCCAUAGAAGCUACGUGAUACAAGUUCAUAGAUGAUAACAGAAUACUUUCUUUUUUUAAUUUUUUUUAAAAAGGGGACACUAAAUUUAAAAUAUUUUUUGCAGGGUUUUUUCCCUUCUCCAUCCCUCAGUUCAUUUCAGUUCAGUUCAGUCGCUCAGUCAUGGCCGACUCUUUGUGACCCCAUGAAUCACAGCACGCCAGGCCUCCCUGUCCAUCACCAACUCCCGGAGUUCACUCAGAGUCAUGUCCAUCCAGUUGGUGAUGCCAUCCAGCCAUCUCAUCCUCUGUCAUCCUCUUCUCCUCCUGCCCCCAAACCCUCCCAGCAUCAGAGUCUUUUCCAGUGAGUCAACUCUUUGCAAGAGGUGGCCAAAGUACUGGAGUUUCAGCUUUAGCAUCAUUCCUUCCAAAGAACACCCAGGACUGAUCUCGUUUAGAGUGGACUGGUUGGAUCUUCUUGCAGUCCAAGGCACUCUCAAGAGUCUUCAACACCACAAUUCAAAAGCAUCAAUUCUUUGGCGCUCAGCUUUCUUCACAGUCCAACUCUCACAUCCAUACAUGAACACUGGAAAAACCAUAGCCUUGACUAGAUGGACCUUUGUUGGCAAAGUAAUGUCUCUGCUUUUGAAUAUGCUAUCUAGGUUGGUAUUAACUUUCCUUCCAAGGAGUAAGCAUCUUUUAAUUUCAUGGCUGCAAUCACCAUCUGCAGUGAUUUUGGAGCCCCCAAAAAUAAAGUCUGACACUGUUUCCACUGUUUCCCCAUCUAUUUGCCAUGAAGUGAUGGGAUCAGAUGCCAUGAUCUUUCUUUUCUGAAUGUUAAGCUUUAAGCCAACUCUUUCGCUCUCCUCUUUCACUUUCCUCAAGAGGCUUUUUAAUUUCUCUUCACUUUUCUGACAUAAGGGUGGUAUCAUCUGCAUAUCUGAGGUUAUUGAUAUUUCUCCCGGCAAUCUUGAUUCCAGCUUGUGCUUUUUCCAGCUCAGUGUUUCUCAUGAUGUACUCUGCAUGUAAGUUAAAUAAGAAGGGUGACAAUAUACAGCCUUGAUGUACUCCUUUUCCUAUUUGGAACCAAUCUGUUGUUCCAUGUCCAGUUCAAAAAGAGACUUACUUUAUGUUUAAAAUGUCCAGCAGUAAGGGUAGAGUUUUUUUUUUCAUCUUUCUUUUCAUGUUUUCCCCCA